UAUCACACUCCAUCAACUUACGUUCCAUUUGUUUUUCCAGGAAGAAACCAUCUAGUACCUGGAAUAAAACAGCAUUAAAAUCUAAUUUUUCCUUGUCCCAGGAAAGCAUAUUCCAGAUAGACCGACACUGAGGAAACUUGGAGAGAUUCCUGUUUCCACCUCCAGCUAACUCUGUGAAAAUACAUAGUGAUAAAUCCAAGUAUGAAAUUCAUCUACAGCAAGAAAUCCUUGAUUAACAUGAAAACAGUGACAUGAAGGAACUGGCAAAAAUAAGCACCACUGCACAGCAGCAAUCUGUGAUAAAUCUUCCUACUUCUGUAACAACUGGUUUGUGCCCAGAACAUCCACCAUCAGUCUCUUAUACCAUUGCUGCAAGAAUAUGGGAACAUCGUUCUGGCUUCUAGAACAAGUUUACAGAAAAUAAAAAUAGAAAAUUGCCCCUCUCUUUGUUGCUACAGUUAGAGGAAGUUGUCAACGGGAGGUCUGCAGCCAAGCAAGUUUAUCUUGUAAGUGUGUUUGCUAAGUCAGGAAUAGAAACUGAAAUGUGGGAAGCAAUUGUACAGAAAGAGGUAGUAGGGAUGGAGAUUACCAUCUUGUGGGAAACCAAGUGACUCUUUGGAAGACAUUCAUUUCAAAAGACACGUGAACCCUUAAAGAUUUUGUCACAGGGAAGUUAUUUGCUCGGAAUUUUCCCCUUUUUUCAAUGCAUUAACAACUUGAAAUACUGCUGACAUAUGCUGGCAUCUGACUGACACGACAAAAGCACUGUACACUGCUGCAAUAAAAACACCCUUGUGUUAC